GAUGAACGCUGGCGGCGUGCCUAAUACAUGCAAGUCGAGCGAACAGACCAGGUGCUUGCUCCUCUGACGUUAGCGGCGGACGGGUGAGUAACACGUGGAUAACCUACCUAUAAGACUGGGAUAACUUCGGGAAACCGGAGCUAAUACCGGAUAAUAUAUUUAACCGCAUGGUUCAAUAGUGAAAGACGGUUUUGCUGUCACUUAUAGAUGGAUCCGCGCCGCAUUAGCUAGUUGGUAAGGUAACGGCUUACCAAGGCGACGAUGGGUAGCCGACCUGAGAGGGUGAUCGGCCACACGGGAACUGAGACACGGUCCAGGCUCCUACGGGAGGCAGCAGUAGGGAAUCUUCCGCAAUGGGCGAAAGCCUGCCGGAGCAACGCCGCGUGAGUGAUGAAGGUCUUCGGAUCGUAAAACUCUGUUAUUAGGGAAGAACAAAUGUGUAAGUAACUAUGCGCGUCUUGACGGUACCUGAUCAGAAAGCCACGGCUAACUACGUG
rnacentral:rRNA from 1 species